rnacentral:misc_RNA from 1 species
CAGAAGGUUAACGCCUAUAAAUCAUUGCGAACCGUCCCACUUAGCUGCCUCGGGCGGGCAAUCCCAGGGCGGGAUUCCGGGCCCCUUCGGGGGCGUCCGCCGGCGGUGCGCGUCUCUAGCUCUGUCUCUCAGCGGGCCUCUGAGUGAUUUAAGAAAACCAAUCA